GACCGUGCGCUCCCAGCUCUGCCUUCAGCAUUUCCUGCCCUCCGUGCCUUGGGAGCUUAGGGAGAUUCAAACAGCGGUUUUUUCCCUGCCACCAGUAAGUCGGGGAAGGUCCUGCUGGGAUGGAAAUGGCUAAAAGAAGAGGAAACAAAAAUGCCAAAACCAGACGCUGCCACAUGAGUGAAAGCAGGGAAAGCCUCGGGAUGUCCAAGGGGCGACCCGUGCCCUGCAGUGCCCUGCCCGGGGCACGCUCCGCAGAGUCCAGAGGUCGAGGAGUCGCACACGGAGUGCCAAGCAGCCCCUUUCCACAGCUGUCCUGCACAGGCCUUCCUGCUCACCGUUCCACAGGGGCGGCCCUUGGAGGCCAUCGCUUACCUGUGCGCCCCUCGCCCUUCCCGGGGGU